AAUGAAGUGCCUGAGAAAAGGGUUAUUUUGAUAGAAUAAAUCAUGUACUAAAUACCUUCAUUA
rnacentral:tRNA from 1 species